rnacentral:tRNA from 1 species
GCCGCGGCGAUAGCUCAGUGGGUAAAGCGCCAGGUGAGAACGGGGCGAUUAUUCCGAGAACUAUUAUCCGCGCGGGUUCGAAUCCCCGCCUGUGGCA